CACACUGAUAAGUCGUCAAAUGCAAAUUUUCUUGUUUUCUGUGUUGAUUACACCAUGGGCCUUGAACAAAAGGAGAAAAUGCAGGGGUUCUUUGCAAUCUGGGGGAAUGCCUUCGAAGGGACCACCUCCCUCACCACCACCGCCUCCAAUGCCGGCGAUGAUUUUCAAAAUAUCACUGGGAGAAUAACCACCAAGCAUGCCAUUCACCAACUGUAAGUAAAUAAGCCAACAAUGCCCUUUUCUUGCGCUUCCACCCAAACAUCAUUCAAUAAUUCAAUACCCAAUUCAUUGAUUAAAGCAUGGAAGAAGUCAUUGAUGCGAGGUUCUUCAAUGAUAUCUUCAAUAUUUACCCAAAGUUCUCCAAUGCUUAGCUAAAAUAUGAAAAGCUGAUACACACAUUCAAAGUAUUUUAUUAAUAGAAAAGAACUAACCUCAAUUGUUAAGCCACGAAUACCAACACUGCUUAAAGAAAUACUAAAUAUCCAGGAAAUGGCAAAUCUGGCAGAUCCCAAGCGGCCACUGUUAAGGGAAUACAAAGAAUGUGUUAAUCAAAAUGUUUUGUAGUCAAUUUGUAAUGCAUCAAAAUAUUCAUAUCUAACCCUAUAAGGUUGUUAUAGAGAUUUGUUGGCCAUAUAGGCUAAUCUGUCCAGCCAUAAAGAUUGAUAGCCUGACAAUAUCCUUCUGAUGUUCAAAAUGAGGGUCUUUUGAAUUGUAAAAGAUCCAUGGAGUUCCAUCUCCGUUCAAGUUAACUACACGUGCUAUGGAGCCCUUGGCUGUAUACAAGGACUUAAGAACGGUCAUGGGCAUAACAAUUUCCAUGUUGGAUCUUCUAAAAGGUGUUGUUGUAAUCUUCAGAGACGUCACAUCAAAAUCCGAUAAGCCAGUCAAAGCUAAAUUUGUCAAAGAUCCAGUAAAACUAAAUUAAAGUUGAAAGAAUUUAUAACAAAAAUUUGUUUUAUAAAAAAAUUUGUUUUGAAAAAACUCACUCAACCAGAUAUUGAUUAUCCACACUGGUUUCAACAUGAUCAAUUUUUAUGGGAUCCAAUGCUGGUAGUCCAAACUUUGGUAUGGGAUGGCACAUACGCAUACGCAAUUCCUCAAGGAAUUCUAAAAUAGCAUCCUCCAUCAGGGCAUUGCCCUGUGGUAGUGAGCUUGUAAAUAUGGCUAUUACAGCCACUAUGGUUUAUCUUCACUCACCAAUUUCCCACCUCAAUACCCAAAUGAUUAGCAGCAGUUGUAGCAAACC